AUUGAACGCUGGCGGCAUGCCUUACACAUGCAAGUCGAACGGCAGCACGGGAGCAAUCCUGGUGGCGAGUGGCGAACGGGUGAGUAAUAUAUCGGAACGUGCCCGGUCGUGGGGAUAACGUAGCGAAAGCUACGCUAAUACCGCAUACGAUCUACGGAUGAAAGUGGGGGAUCGCAAGACCUCGCGCGAUUGGAGCGGCCGAUAUCAGAUUAGGUAGUUGGUGAGGUAAAGGCUCACCAAGCCGACGAUCUGUAGCUGGUCUGAGAGGACGACCAGCCACACUGGGACUGAGACACGGCCCAGACUCCUGCGGGAGGCAGCAGUGGGGAAUUUUGGACAAUGGGCGCAAGCCUGAUCCAGCAAUGCCGCGUGCAGGAUGAAGGCC
rnacentral:rRNA from 1 species